rnacentral:rRNA from 1 species
CCUACGGGGCGCUGCAGUGAGGAAUAUUGGUCAAUGGGCGAGAGCCUGAACCAGCCAAGUCGCGUGAAGGAUGAAGGAUCUAUGGUUUGUAAACUUCUUUUAUAUGGGAAUAAAGUGAGGAACGUGUUCCUUUUUGUAUGUACCAUAUGCAUAAGCAUCGGCUAACUCCGUGACAGCAGCCGAGUUAAUACGGAGGGUGCGAGCGUUGUCCGGAUUUAUUGGGUUUAAAGGGUGCGUAGGUGGUUAAUUAAGUCAGCGGUGAAAGUUUGUGGCUCAACCAGAAAAUGGCCGUUGAAACUGGUUGACUAGAGUAUAGUAGAGGUAGGCGGAAUGCGUGGUGUAGCGGUGAAAUGCAUAGAUAUCAGGAAGAACACCGAUGGCGAAGGCAGCUUACUAAACUAUAACUGACACUGAAGCACGAAAGCGUGGGGAGCAAACAGGAUUAGAUACCCGAGUAGUC